rnacentral:rRNA from 1 species
GAUGAACGCUGGCGGCGUGCCUAAUACAUGCAAGUCGAGCGAACGGACGAGAAGCUUGCUUCUCUGAUGUUAGCGGCGGACGGGUGAGUAACACGUGGAUAACCUACCUAUAAGACUGGGAUAACUUCGGGAAACCGGAGCUAAUACCGGAUAAUAUUUUGAACCGCAUGGUUCAAAAGUGAAAGACGGUCUUGCUGUCACUUAUAGAUGGAUCCGCGCUGCAUUAGCUAGUUGGUAAGGUAACGGCUUACCAAGGCAACGAUGCAUAGCCGACCUGAGAGAGUGAUCGGCCACACUGGAACUGAGACACGGUCCAGACUCCUACGGGAGGCAGCAGUAGGAAAUCUUCCGCAAUGGGCGAAAGCCUGACGGAGCAACGCCGCGUGAGUGAUGAAGGUCUUCGGAUCGUAAAACUCUGUUAUUAGGGAAGAACAUAUGUGUAAGUAACUGUGCACAUCUUGACGGUACCUAAUCAGAAAGCCACGGCUAACUACGUG